CUGGAGGACGGCUGCGCUGCCUCGAUGGGGUGCGCUUCCUGAGCGCCGUGUGGGUCGUGCUCAUACACAACUACGUCGUAGCGGAGCCCAACAGCAUGGGGAACAUUAUGGACGUCCUCGCCCUCAGAUCCAAUAUUGCGCUCACUACCGUGUUCUCGGGAUUCCUCAGCAUCGAAACCUUUUUCUUGCUCAGCGGAUUUUUGGCUGCUUACGCCAUAUUCCACGAGGUGCAUCAGAAAAAACCACCAACUCCGUGGCCGAUGAAAUUGUGGAAGAGGUA
rnacentral:lncRNA from 1 species